CAGUGUCGAUGAUGUCGCUUUUUUACCUACAUUGUUCGAUGCUCCCUGAGAGAAACCCAAACACUGAGACACCG